rnacentral:lncRNA from 1 species
CUGGCAUUUACAAUGUUCUGCUCUGUUCUUCUCUGCAUUAGCUAUAAGAUAGUGGGUGAGUAACAUAUUUCUUUCCUCCACUAAUAUCUCAAAAUAUAAAAAAAGAUAUUAACCAGUUUGCAACCUAAUGUUGUAAUGGGGAUCAGAAUGGAAAGUAUACGAGUCACUUACCUUAUUAUUUAUGUAAUAAAACCUACAAUUGACUUUCCUGAGACUUGUAGCAUUCCUUAGACAGGGGAUACCUGCCUUCUGAAACACUGCUCAGAGAAACUGGAGCAAAUAUGCUAUUUUUGAGAUUUAGUCGCCUAUGGGAAGAAAAUCAAAAUUUUAAAUUAGGAAACACUCAGUGGAUUCUGUAAGUUUCUUCAUGGAUAUGCAGAUGAUGAAACUGAAGGGGAGAGAGUGAUUUUCUUAAAAUUGGUAUUCUGAAAUUUAAUGCAGUACUUAUGAAGUCUUUUAUACACUGCCAUUGGAAUGAGUCACUGGACUGUAUUCACCUAAAGUUCAGGUCUGGUCAACAUUUUAGACCCAAAGGUCAACAAACUAUGUAGAUUUGACCCAGAUAACAGAUGCAGUCUGGUACCCAUUUGUGUCAUUUUUAUGUGGCCAAACCUAACUUUGUGGUUUCAUCAUGACAGGCUUUAGUUUGCAGUAGAGAUCUUGUGGCUCAGGAGCCUGAAGAGUUUACUACUCAGCUCUGUGAAUCUUCUUUAAGAUGAUCUUUGAGAAUACCUUUCCAUGUCGUCCUUAAAGCAAGCUAUUGUCAUCCAUUGCUAGCAUUCAGAUUCUCAAGACAAGUAUGUCAUGAGAAAUGAACCUGCAAAGACUACCUGCUUUCUUACCACACUCAUUUCUCCUCACCACUUGUGCCUGCUGAAGGUGAGAGA